rnacentral:snRNA from 1 species
UUCUUGAUCCUGCAAGAUCGGGC